CAGGCCGCAGCCACCCAAAAUCGACGUCCCACUCCUCGACCUCUAGAAAAAAAACUCCUACCCUCGACCAGAUCUAAUCCGCCGCCGGCCGCCCUCCACCCAACCAUUGCCGCCGUCGCGCCCCACCACCACAGCCCUGCCGUCGGCCACCACCCCGACCACCGCCGCUGUCGCCCCAACCACCCCACAACAGCGCCAGCAAGCACCACCGCCCCCAACCGUCCCACUGCUGCCGGCCGUCCUCAACCCAGCCGCAGCCGUCGUCGGCCCCCACCACUGCAGACCCGCCGUUGGCCCCUACCACACCACCGCCCAUGACUGCCCUCCACCCGACCACUGCGGUCGUCACCCCGAACCACCCCACAGUAGCACCGCCGAGCACCCAACUGACACGGACAACCACUGCCGACGAGCCACUCCACCGGCGACCAUCCUCCUCCGCCGAACGCCUUCCCUCGUCACCGCCCUAUUUCGCGAGCUUCCUGCCCCGAGUAGGACUCCUCCCUAAGCCGAUGGAGCCAGGAGUUCUUUGAAUGGGAUUGGUGAAUGCAAUAGUGUUGGUGUGUGGAUUUAUUAUCUUCUUAUGAGAGAAGAACAAGCAGGCAAGUCAAAUCAGUGGUGGUUCCGUUGGUUGCUCUGAUGUAAUAUUUGUAUUGUCUGUAGGUGAGGGUUCUGAUUUAAUCCUUUUGAACCUCAAAGAGGCUGUUAGCCUAAAUAAAUCUUUGCUCCAGUGAGCUUUACGAAAUGAAUUCACUACUACUCGAAGUUUUGUGUAUGGAAGGGAGAUUGGAUAUUCGGCUCACUGUGUACUAACCAAAACAUAUUUGGAAGUGGACAAGUCCAUGGCAAAAGCAGGAAUACGACCACAAGCAAGCUGAGGAGGCAGUAAGCACCUCCUUGAUGCGUGCCUGGAGAAGAACGAAGCGACUCCGCAGCGAGCGACCAAACUCAGAUUUCGUUGUUUGACCGGCGACCACUGACACCUGAGUGUGGGACUGUGGGGGUGGGGCGUGGUGCACCGGCGGACUGGACGGCGGCCGCUGUGGCUUGCCGGCAUGGGGGUGGCUGCUGGCGGGCAGCCGACUAGGCUAGGGAUUGGUGGUCAGGGGCUCCCUCCGGUUCUGCAGUCCUGACCUCGUCUUGUCGCCACGCGCGGUGCCGCAUUGAGAUGCUUCGCCCCUCCUGAGAUUUCCUUCAAGCUCCGCCACUGACUUCUCUACGUUCUCCAGAGAUAAUGGUUUUUACUAUUUGCAAUCAUGCUUCACACUCUCAUCACAAUAAAUUAGAAAAGAAUGUCGCCGGUUGUGGUUGUUGAUAUAGUUUCUUAUUCUUGCAUGCCAGCUGGUUCUUGAAGUAGAGUUGUAGACGACAUAAUCAUCUUUCGUAUUUUUGUUUGCAUGUUUCCAAGAAUUUUCAUGUCCUGAAAUCUGUACAGUACUCAAGUUUACAAAAAAAAACAUUUCAUGCAAUAAUUGUGGCUGCAACUCUUGGAAUUGGAACUAUGAAAGGAUAUGUCAUAUUUGCUUCCUAGUUUGCACUUUUUGGUCCAUGCUGUUCUUCCUAGUUUGCACCGUGCUUCUUGGUUUUACAUUCCUAAUGGCUUACAUUGGUUCUGAAUCUUCUGAUAACCAGAUGUUUACUUCAAUGAGCUUAUUUGUUUGUAUAUGUUUUCUUCUAAUGUUGUUUUCAAAUCUACGAUUUACUCUUGACCAAUAAACAUACUAGCACAUGGUCACAAACCAGUGCAUAAAUCAGCUUGUUUAUCUGUCUGUUUGUACAAAGCCUUAAUUAAAUUUUUUAGGCUAAUUCAACUUGGUUUGUGGGGACGAGUAGUAGCCCCCCCCCCCCCAAUUGUUCUUCCAUUUAACUAUGUAUAGAGAGCAUAAAAAGAGCUUUUGUUGACAAAAAAAUUUGUAGUUCUGAAAAGGAAAUAUGUACGUAAAUUUAGAAAGUAGCAGGACACGUAUAGAGAAUCAUGAACAUCAAGUUUUGGACAUAUGUCAUAGAGAACAAAAGCCUCACAUUUAGCAUAUGUUUGCAAAUAAAAAAGCACAUACAUGUCUCGGUGUGAGCAGUCAUGCCAUGCCAUCAGUGUGAGCAGCUGAAGCCUUGCAAAAAAUUUCAUAUGCAAGCCCUGAAAAUUUUAUAUGGAAGCCAAAGGGUUGUAGAACUGGCCCUUAGUCACUUAAAUAUCACCUGGUCUUUGUUUCUAGUCCCAGAUUCUAUGUGGUCUGCAGCUCACAGAUUUUUCCUGUGUUUAUCUUGCUUUCUUAACUGCUUCCUUACCUACUGCCAUAGCUAUAAUCUCCAUUUUGAAUUUCUGUUCUGUUGCAGGUUUUGCAAAUGUAUGCAAGUUCACGGAGGUUUGGAAGGACCUUCAAGCUGUUGAAGAUUUGGAAUACCUACAAUUAAGUUGGAGUGAUAAUGUCAUAUACCUUAUUUGUUGACCUGGAGACUUGCUCUGCUCAUUUUGGUUGUGGCAAAUUUAGAAAUUUAUGUACUACUUUUGUGGUACUACAUUUUGGUAGUGUGAUACAUCUAGAAACAUAUAUGUACUUCUCAUUUUGUGGAACAACCUCCUUAUAUAUGGAAGCUUAUAUGUACUUCUUUUCUGGAACAGCCUACUUGUAUUGUUGUGUUUAUCGAAUAAAGUUUACGGUUUUGAUGA